UUGAUUUACACGGCCAGAGCCUGGGGACACGGCCAGAGAUCAAAUCUGUUUAUGUAAGGGUGUUUAAGCUAUGGGUGAGAGCUUCAGAGGACUGAGAUGUUGAAGAGAUCUACCCUGGUGUGUUCCCAUGGAGCUCAACACGCCUAAUAAGAACCAUCUUAUCUCCACCUCCAUUUCUCAAUUUGAGAUACAGCGCCAGAAUAGUUAGACAAAUCAAAUGAGAGACAUUGCUUCCACGAGGGUGAAAAAAAUUUGUGUAAAAUCUGUCGAAUUGAGCAAAGUGAAGAUGAAGCAGGAGGUGAUUGGGUGACGUUUAUUUCUAAUGUUGCUGAUGCCUUGAACUUUGAAUCAUCCAUCAUUGAAGAACACACUCUGAGGAGCAGAAACUAAUGGUGGAUCCUGGCACAAUCUCUUUUAUCUCAAAUGUACUGCAGAUCCCACAGGACAGUAACAAUGAUUUCGAGAAUAUGAAAUCUAUCGUUUGUGAUAAUUAUUCAGAACAGAAAAUGGGAGAACCAGCUAUACUUUCUGGCAGCCUACUGAAUAAGCUAGUUGUUAAUGAUGUGGCUGCUGAAGUGGAUGUCAAGGGGAAAAAAGCGUGAAUCCAGCUGCAAGGUAAAACUUCAGAUUACAUUUGUUGACUUAAUUAAUUGGUUAAUUUUCCCUUCACAUUCAUAGGGGAUUAGCCCAGUACCUUUUAACAUAUUUGAUUUUUAUCUUUGGCUUAAUGCUUAA